GGUUUAAUUACCCUUAAUUUGAGGUUAGCAACGGUUUUGACCUGAAGAAAUUUAGCGUCAACUAUGAAUUUUGGAACGUCUCCUUUAGGGGAGACAAA
rnacentral:snRNA from 13 species